UACGUAGGGGGCAAGCGUUGUCCGGAUUUAUUGGGCGUAAAGCGCGUGUAGGCGGCUGGGUAGGUCCGCUGUGAAAACUUGAGGCUCAACCUCAAGAGGUCGGUGGAAACCAUCCAGCUAGAGUCCGGAAGAGGAGAAUGGAAUUCCUGGUGUAGCGGUGAAAUGCGCAGAUAUCAGGAGGAACACCAAUUGCGAAGGCAGCUCGCUGGGACGUUACUGACGCUGAGACGCGAAAGCGUGGGGAGCGAACAGG
rnacentral:rRNA from 1 species